GACGAACGCUGGCGGCGUGCUUAACACAUGCAAGUCGAACGGAAAGGCCCUGCUUUUGUGGGGUGCUCGAGUGGCGAACGGGUGAGUAACACGUGAGUAACCUGCCCUUGACUUUGGGAUAACUUCAGGAAACUGGGGCUAAUACCGGAUAGGAGCUCCUGCUGCAUGGUGGGGGUUGGAAAGUUUCGGCGGUUGGGGAUGGACUCGCGGCUUAUCAGCUUGUUGGUGGGGUAGUGGCUUACCAAGGCUUUGACGGGUAGCCGGCCUGAGAGGGUGACCGGCCACAUGGCGACUGAGAUACGGCCCAGACUCCUACGGGGGGCAGCGGUGGGGAAUAUUGCACAAUGGGCGGAAGCCUGAUGCAGCGACGCCGCGUGCGGGAUGGCGGCCUUCGGGUUGUAAACCGCUUUCGCCUGUGACGAAGCGUGAGUGACGGUAAUGGGUAAAGAAGCACCGGCUAACUACGUG
rnacentral:rRNA from 1 species